rnacentral:Y_RNA from 1 species
GGUUGGCCCAAAGGCAAUGAGUUAUCUCGAUUGAUUGCUCACAGUCAAUUACGAUUUAAGUCCUUGUUCUACUCAUUCCCCUCUUCUCACCGCUGCACUUGACUAAUCUUAA